UGGCAGCUCCGCUGAGGCGACAGGUGCUCGCCCUCGGCGCCUCAGGCGGCCGGUGACCACGCCGCCACAGCCCCGCCGGCCUCUCUGCGCCUGCGCGGGCCCUUCCCGCGCGGCUUCAGAUGGCGACUAGCCAGCCAGAGGGCCACUCUGCGCCUGCGCCAGUCUCCCCGCGACGACCCGCGUGCGGGCAAUGGAGUGGACUCACCAGGAAUGUUCUUCGUAUGAAAAUGGCAGAGGCAGAGAUGGCAAGCCCAACCGUGCGAGCACUUUCAAGCCUCUGCUUGCAUCUCAUCUGCUAACAUCUCAUCAGACAAAGCAUGUCAAAGGAUAGUGUCAACUGAAGUAAGGGGCCCAGGUCACAUGCGUCAGACAUCCUGUCAGUUCACCUUCCCAAGGACGUCUUUUCUGGAAUCUUCUGAACUGCUCCUAUCUGGACUACUUCACAUCCGUCCUUCUGGAAUGUCUCGACAUCAUCCUGCUGAUACCCUUCCUUUGUCCUCAGAUUGGAUCUGCUAUUUCCUGUGUCCUCAAUGCCUUCUCUUUCUCAGUCGGGUCGUUUCUUUGAGAACAUCCUCCAGGAGCUUCUUGAGAGAGGAUGUGUGGGAGACAGAACAGUUGCUCCAAUGAGAUGCAGCUUGUCUGCCUUCCUCUGGCCGUCUCCCCAGCACCUGGCACCGUGGAGGCGCUCACCCAGCCUGCGGAGUGACUGCGUGGAUUGUCUCUCUUCCUCUGUAGACGUGUUUGUUGCAUAGCCGGUUGCUCCAAGUGGGGCACACCUGGACUAACCUGG
rnacentral:lncRNA from 1 species